UGGAGGCAUGAGAAGGUGGAGCAGUCCCCCAUACUGCUGCCAACUGGUUACACCCUCCUAUACUACUAACACUGC